GAAAUGCGAUAAGUAAUGUGAAUUGCAGAAUUCAGUGAAUCAUCGAAUCUUUGAACGCACAUUGCGCCCCCUGGUAUUCCGGGGGGCAUGCCUGUUCGAGCGUCAUUUCACCACUCAAGCCUCGCUUGGUAUUGGGCGACGCGGUCCGCCGCGCGCCUCAAAUCGACCGGCUGGGUCUUUCGUCCCCUCAGCGUUGUGGAAACUAUUCGCUAAAGGGUGCCGCGGGAGGCCACGCCGUAAAACAACCCCUUUUCUAAGGUUGACCUCGGAUCAGGUAGGGAUACCCGCUGAACUUAAGC
rnacentral:misc_RNA from 1 species